rnacentral:lncRNA from 1 species
AACGAGAUCAGAUUUGAGGCACCCUUCCUCUAUAAAUAGGAGUGCUAAUACAUUGUAAAGGACACUUUUGAGCUUAGUGAAAUGCUACAAAAAUUAUUUUCCAGCCUUAUUGCUCUUAAGUGACUUGUUCUCUUUACUUUCUCUACCAUUUCCUCUAGCUUCCUUCCAUAGUGGGAAGGCCUUCUGAGCUGAGAGGAUACUCCACACACUCCUUCCAUCACAAACACACCAAAACUCCUAUCAUUUACAUCCAUUUCCGCUGC